AGCCAGUCACCGAAGCUGCGGAUAUGCGUAAGCAUAUGGUAGGAGAGCGUUCUGUAAGCCUGCGAAGGUGUCUUGUAAAGGAUGCUGGAGGUACCGCGA
rnacentral:rRNA from 1 species